rnacentral:lncRNA from 1 species
AUAAAAGCCGACGUUAUUAAAUUCCACUUGGAUGUUGUAGCUGCCUGCCUGCUCUCUUUAUUAAAAAGGGUGGUGGCAGCCUUAGGGACGUUAAAAAUUGGCCAGCCCCCAGAAGAGACUCUCCUUGGCCGAGCCUGCAGGAUUACAGAGGAAUAACUUUGUCAGUGUGCGUGACUACUUUGUGCUUUGUGACGCUACCUGCACCUCCCAAAUCACCCUGUGACCUCCCCUCGGGGUUUGUGCCCCCUAGGACCUGCUAGUUAGACGGCACUGGAGGGAAGGAGAAGGCCACGCUCCUGAAGCCAGCACCGUUUGCAGCUGAUGGAGAGAGCGGCGCAUCUGUGACCCGAGGAGAGACUGGAAAAUCUGUGUCGUCACAGCGAGCUCAGAUUUUGCAGCUUCAGUGUGAAUUUUAGAAGCGAUCUUGCUAAAAUAUGCCUCUCUGAGUGGGUCCUGUGACCAGCUCGGGGCCGGGCGCUGGGGACACAGGGAGCAGUCUGUGAACCGAAGGAACAUUUGAGCCCACCGCUGACCAUGGAGGGGAACAGAUUCAAUGCCAAACAGGGUCUGUCAAUAAGCAGCUCUUACCCUUGGUCUUAGAGCUGUGCUCCGAGGCACCGACUUCCGAAGAACCCCAGAGAGAAGGCAACAGUUCCAAGUCCUGUACUUUGCCCCCUGUGAUGACAUUUCUGUGUCUCACUAUUUGUAACGUUUGUGUUCCCAGUUGCUGUCCACAAACACGGGGCUCGCCUCCUACCCCUCGUAUCCAGCUCACCGCCCGGCACACAAAUGGCAGAACUGAGGAGACAGGAAACGAAGGUCCAUAUCCUGAGAUGGAAAUAGGUACACCAGGUGCGUGAGUCCCCGGGGUCGGCGCCAUCACUGCAGGUGGACGCGCCAGGCUCUCCCCUGCUCUGCGAGGAGGGCUCAGCGUCUGCCAGUCUCCCAGCAGUGACAACAAGCGCCUGGAUUCCGUAAUUCAAUUGAGGCGAAGAACGGGGAGAAACGAGGCGGCUGCAGUUUAUGGCAAGGAAUCAAAGAGGAUGAAAAUAAGAGAAGAAUUCACGAGAGGAAGAAAACUGCAAAACUGUAGACCCACCAGAGCGAGGUUCUCAUCCUCUCUCACAAGCUCCCCCGGCCCAUCCCGGAGAGGCCAAGCUCAAAGCCAUCACCAAAGUGAUUACUCACCAUCCGCUGGAUGGAUCGCUCGGGCCUGGGGAGGAGGAGGAAAAGGAGGGAAGUCAAUUGACAAACGCUAGGGUCCACUCCUCCCUCACUCCGCUCCACGAGCCCAGAGGGGUUUAAUUUCCCGGUCUGAUGCUGUGGAGGGAGAAAGUUUGAAAAGCCUUCAAAAAUGUUUAGAAACUUCCCUAAGCCUGAAUUUUUGAAAUUGUUUUUUUAUUUUCAUAAAAUGUGGUGUUUAUAGUUUGUCUGUGCUUCUCAUUCUUCCUGCUUCCUGGGGCCUUUGCACAGGGCCCCGCUUGAACUCAGCUUCAUCUUUACUUAGCAGCAGAGUGACCCUGGGUGCAAUCGCU